CGCACAUUGCGCCCAUUAGUAUUCUAGUGGGCAUGCCUAUUCGAGCGUCAUUUCAACCCUUAAGCCUCAGUUGCUUAGCGUUGGGAAUCUGCCCUGUAUUUAUAGGGCAGUUCCUUAAAGUGAUUGGCGGAGUUAGGGCAUACUCUAAGCGUAGUAAUAUUCUUCUCGCUUCUGUAGUUGUCCUGGCGGCUUGCCGUUAAACCCCUAUAUUUCUAGUGGUUGACCUCGGAUUAGGUAGGAAUACCCGCUGAACUUAA
rnacentral:misc_RNA from 1 species